rnacentral:lncRNA from 10 species
UGCCCUAGUGGAAUCUGCUCAGCCUCCUCCCUGGGGAUGGGCACCAUCUUGGGCUGUGACCUUCAAUUCACCGGCUCCCCAGAAGCCAGCUCCUCCUUGGGAGGUGAGGUUAUACCCUGUCCCCACAACGUUGUCAUUUCCUUCCCCUGAGUCUCUCUGUGUGAGGAUUGUUCCCCUAAUCAGGAUGGAGACGCAGUUCAUUACAAGCUGGUGAGGCAACGGCUCUGUGCUCCAGGCCCGAGACAGGCUGUCUGGGAGCUUGGCCAGCCUCCCACUGCCCCGGACACCAGGGCAGUGGCCUCAGAGCAGAACCAGCUCGCUGGGUUUGUCUGCCCCCUUCCCAAGGGACACAGGCAGACAGACACUGUUUGCUGAGACUUCCACAGCUUUCAUUAUUACAAAACCUCUGCCAUGCUCAGACAAUGAGUUUCAGCAAAUGAUGGCACUACUUCCGAGAGCAUCUGUAGAGCACCUAGAAUAACAACUGGACUUUAUUGAGUGUUUACCAUGCACCAAGCCCUGGGCUAAACACUUCAUCUGCAGGCUGUUCGUCUUUACGGCAAACCCAGUAGGUAGGUAUAACUAUCCCCACUCUGCAGAUGCAGAAACGGAGGCACAGAAUGUUUUGGUAGCUAAACAAGCUCACCAGGAGGCUAGAAGGUGGCCACACCUAGCUGGCCCCCCUGACUCCACCAACUGCCUCCCUUUGCUGUAUUGCAUGCAAGAAUGUGACUCCAAGUUUUUCCUUCCUUCUGGAUCCAACUCUGGCUUCACUCUGCUCAGCAACCAGCAGGAGCUACUAGAUUUCUACAUGAUCCUACUUCCUGGGCCCACACGAUUGAUCCAGGAGUGAGCACCCGAUAAAGACUGGGCCAAUCAUUCCCUUUGAUACUGGGAAGUUUGCUACUGGGCAUAAAAGAAGAAAAUGAGUUUCACUCUCUGUGUCUGAACAGUAGUAAGUAAAACCCAGGGACCUUUAUAACCAUGCUUCCCACCACAUGCACUACAAAAGCAACCUUUGUGCUUGAGAAAGCAGAACUUUCUGGAAGCAAUAAUGUGAAGGAGUAAGACAUAUGUGGUGGAUUAAGACAGACCUGAGUUGCAAGCCUCAUUUUGCCAGUUACUAACCAUGUGAUUUGGACUGACAAUACUAACACUAUCUAACAGUUGUUGAAUUUUUAUGAUGUGCCAGGUACUGUUCCAAAGCUUUAUAUGCAAGGUCUUAUAUGCAUUAACUCAUUUUAUUAUCACAAUGACAGCAUAAAGUAUUUUCUAUUAUCAUCUUCAUUAUUUUACCCUUGAAGAAACUAAGGUCCUGCAAAGUUAGAAAUGAGCCG